UACGUAGGGUGCAAGCGUUGUCCGGAAUUAUUGGGCGUAAAGAGCUCGUAGGCGGUUUGUCGCGUCUGCUGUGAAAACUCGGGGCUUAACUCCGGGCCUGCAGUGGGUACGGGCAGACUAGAGUGCGGUAGGGGAGACUGGAAUUCCUGGUGUAGCGGUGAAAUGCGCAGAUAUCAUGAGGAAGACCAGUGGCGAAGGCGGGUCUCUGGACAGUUCCUGACACUGAGACACGAAGGCCAGGGGAGCAAACGGG
rnacentral:rRNA from 1 species